UGACGGUACCUGGAGAAAAAGCAACGGCUAACUACGUGCCAGCAGCCGCGGUAAUACGUAGGUUGCAAGCGUUGUCCGGAUUUACUGGGUGUAAAGGGCGUGUAGGCGGAGCUGCAAGUCAGAUGUGAAAUCCCGGGGCUCAACCCCGGAACUGCAUUUGAAACUGUAGCCCUUGAGUAUCGGAGAGGCAAGCGGAAUUCCUAGUGUAGCGGUGAAAUGCGUAGAUAUUAGGAGGAACACCAGUGGCGAAGGCGGCUUACUGGACGGUAACUGACGUUGAGGCUCGAAAGCGUGGGGAGCAAACAGGAUUAGAUACCCUG
rnacentral:rRNA from 1 species